rnacentral:tRNA from 1 species
UCUCUAGUGGUCCAGUGGUUAGGACUCGGUGUUUUCACUGCCAAGGGCCUGGAUUCAAUCUCUAGCCAGGGGA